CGCCCACCCAACCUCUGUCACGACUGCCACAAUCUCUGUUCAGCUCCACUCACCUGUUGUCUUCUCUAGCUCACAUACAGCCUCGACCCCUCACCACCGAUCUCUUCCACCUCUUGGACCCCGGACCUCUCACCAUCCUGCACCUAUCUUUAUCAAUAAAACCACUUAAAGCUUCCUCUGCUGCCUGCUUUUGGGUCCUUUCAGGAAAAUAAACCCUUACAAAAAGAAGGUAUGUGUUGUCUCGAUCGAUUUGGUAUGAACAGGACAAGCACCAAAAGAUAUAGAAGUGCCAAACUUAAUAUAACCAAAAGUUUCUCACUAGAGCUUUAAUUGAUUCAGCUAUAAAGCAUCUCUUUACAGCCUCACAGCCGGUCUUUGCUUCUUAUGCUUCAAACAGCUUGUAAAGCAAUUAAAACAAUUUAUACAUCAUUAAUAAAGUGAAUAACUUGUGCUUAUAUCAAACCCUUUAGGGACCCUUUGAGGAAGCGGUGCACCCUCUGAUGUACAAGCCGUAGUCUAAAGAAAGCCGCCAUCGCAGCACCACCACUUUGUAUGUCACCAUUUGAUGCAAUACUCUACACAUGAGAGCUUAUAUGUAUGUGCACUUCUCUAAGAGGGCCAUUUGGAGAGCAGCAGGUCAAUACACAUUCAUAGAGAGUGCAUUUCCCUGAAUGCUUCAGCAGUCUGUAAAGCCUCAGUGCCACUUUCCACCAUAUUCUGCUUACUGCAUUAAUCCAUCGUACAAAAGCGUCAUUCUGCGCUUGUAGAGAGGACAGUCACACAAGUUUACACACACACACACACACUCAGACACACAGUGGAGGCCCACAUAGACACACAUUUUCACAGCUUCAAUGGCAGAAAAUCCAUACCCCUUUCUGGGAGGAGGAAUUCCAUUAGAUAAUAGAUAUGGAAUCCAUCUCGAUUCCCCACCUUAUCUUCUCCCGGGGUGAGGGAUCAAUACUAGGGCUUCAGCUCAACUGCCAACAAUAACAGGAAAUUGAUGGGACAGCAUGAGCAGCGCGGAGGGCCUGUAAUGGCACUUUCUUGGCCACCCCUGUAAUGCUAAUCAGAGGGGGAGUUAAUUGGUGAAAAGCUGCUUUUAGUAAUGAAGAGGAAUGGGAGCUGAUGCCUGGAGUUUAUGAACCAACACAGAUUAGGUAUGUGAUUGUUGAGGAAAUGAAUGCAGCUGUGAAAAAUCUACAAAAUUACUGUCGUACAGUAGAAGCAGAGGAGUGCAGUUAGACGGAGAAACAUCUCACACACAGAUAUCCAGUUAUCUGAACAAAUGGGUGUGCACACUGUAAUGGCUUCUAAUUUUCCACAGAGCUGCAGAGGUUUCCUGUCAGAGUUGCCAGGUGCCGUGUUUACAGAGACCGUUGCCUGGAAACACAUUCCAAACAGCGCUAGGAUAUGAGGACGAGGGAGCAGUGCUGAGGUGAGCGUGGGGUCAGGUGCUACACAGAGCUGUAUAGAUCCGGGCAUACUGAUAACGCUCGCCGAGGGACCUGGGUGGUUCCUUUUCUUUUUUUUUUCUUACACAAUGAUGAGUCAUGUCAUGUUUGUGUUACAGUGGGUCAGUGACAUGUGGGUGUGCGGUGGUUUGGAGGUUUACAGCUUUGCUGGUCAUCGAGGUCCAGAGUCCGUUCUGGCUGAGAUGUUUGCACAGCUAAAACACCACUUAUUGCGCCAUAUCACAGAGGGGUGUCAACAGCAGAGCUGGAGCAUGGAGAGCAUGAGUGACUGCUGGAAAACUGCAGAUAUUUCAUCCAGUAUCCAAAUGCACUGAACAUUUUAGCUUUGUUUUGGCACAGCUAAGAUUUAGACCUGGUUUAAAGAUUUAACACUUCACCUCGAUGGAUCAGAAAGUCUCUACUUUCUUGAUUUUCUCCUGAUUUGCAUUUCUUCAUGUUUUUAACAGUCCUUUACUUUAAAACACAAAAGUUUCUAGUCCCCUUUCUUUUCUUAAGUAGUGCUGUGUGAAGUUACAGAAAGACCCAGGAGCCAGGCAGAGAACUUGCUCAGAAGUCAGGUCAUAAACUGCUGCGGUUAACUAUCCCACAUAAAUGAAACCUCUGAACCAGAGCACAAGCACUAUUUUCACAUGUGACAAAGUGCCACUUCACCUGCAGCACACUCAUUAGUUGUAGCAGUCAACGAAUGAAUCCCAUUUCAAAAACACUGAAUUAUCCUUUUAACACAGAAAAGUUAACGUAAAUCAUCUUAAAGUAUCCUUUACUGUUUAUAUGAUAUGUCAGCAAACACCUGAUUCUUGAUUUGGCCAUUCUAUCUUGAUGUGUUUUUAUUUACUCACCUCAUUUAACAGCCAUCAUUUCAACUCAGCUCAUCUUAACUCAACUCUAUCAAGUUAAUUACUUAAGAGCACAGUGUGUAGAAAUGGAGAUUUCAAGCUGUUAGAUUUCAGAUGAAAAAUACUCCAGUACUCACCUCUCCUGUUUGUGAGGCGACAGUUGCCUUCGAGGACAAGAAGCUGCUGCGUCAAAUGUGAUCCUUCAUCAGUACAAAUUCUUCUUCUUCUAACUAAUACAAAUUACUAUCACUAGUUUGUUUGUUCUGUGCUAUUAAAGAAACAUUGUAGUGCAAGAUAAAAAAGUAAAUGUCAGUGAAAAGGACAAAUUUUUGUGUUUUUUUAGAGAACUGUUGAUGCAUUGUUUUUUUAUUGGACGCACUUUGUAAGCUGUACAAACAGCUGGUUUCAUUACCAUCGGUGUCUUUGUUUUGUUUUGAUGCCUCCGAGCAUCAUCAUUGAACAAAAUAAGUUCUUGGUGCAGUUUCACUUCCUCACAAAAAAGUAAAACUUGUUUGUGGAAAAAAACAUUUAUUAACCUUCCAUUGGAAAAAAAAAAGCUAUAAAAAUAAAUUUAUGAUUCUCAGUACGUCAGUGUUUUGCCUCCAGCCAGUGAUCAUCACCAACACAUGAUCUUGGUGCCAUUUCACCCACUUGAUCAAUAAAUGAACAACAUUCAAAAGUUAAUUCUCUAAUUUGGUUAUUACAAGCAAACUUUGUCUUAAAAAUUGGGGAAUAAAGUUAUCAUCAUCAUCAUCAUCAUCAUCAUUACUUCACUGUUUUGCUUACAGCCACUGAGCAUCACCGCUGACGCCACAUAAGGUCUUGUAGCUGUUUCACUCACGCUAUUUCUUUCAUCGCUGGGAUUAAAAACUGGCACCUCUUUCAUCACAAGCUCCAGCAUCUACACCCAGAGCCUUUGUAACAGUCACUCAUAGUAACUGUGAGUGAGACGCCGCUGAGCAGCAUCUGGAUGAGAUUGUCAUGGAUGUGCUUGGUCUCAUUCCAUAACUAAUCCUGUUCUGUGAUCUCUGCCCAGCACACAUAACCCCCCAACCCUCCUACCCCUCAAAAAUACUGACCUGAACAAACCAGCAGGUGGUGCUGUCCUCUGUGGUAUCAGCAUGUUUUGAAUGGUUAAAAUAUUUUGGCAUUGCCUAUGAAAGCUAUCAAGGAUUUCUAACAGUGUUGUCAGCGUGCAGAUGUAAAAGUAAAUGUAGACAUAAUGCAGCUCUGUGUGUGAUUCUGUGCUGCUCUGCUAUCAGCGCAGAUGAAGUCGAUGAAGAGAUGAGGCCUUUUUGGAUCAUCGAGAUACUCGUGAUUACAAGUUGAG